CUCCCACGUGUAGCUCUUUCAACAGGCUCAGCGUAGCCCCCCAAGGCCGACAGUACCCACACAACUUAGCUCCGGAAGCUGGAGCCAGGAAGGGCCGUCCAGGGCCAGGGAAGAUCUUCGGGACAGACGUAUCGUCAAAGGGAGAGGCACCAGUGCAGAGUGACCCUGCCAGCUCCCCCUCCCAGAAUACGCCCCGCCCUCUGCACCGAGGAGCCUGGAAGCUGAAGCCCCCUCUCAUCCCCAAAGCAGAGUUCAGGCUAGAAGUUCUUGUUCCCUGAAGAGGGAGCACGCGACCAGGUGACCCGUGACUACAGAAGAUUCUGGUCUGACUACCAUAUCAGAAUGGCAGGACAAAGGUCCACAUCCCUGCGCUUGUUCCGGACCCAGCAGCAAGGCCACACCUCCAUACCCAGUGCGUCUGGCCCUCUCCUGGAGUCACCGCUAGGCCUUCUCUGGAAGAGCUUCAGCUGAUUUCUUCCCCAGCACCUUGAUUGGCCAUACGUGAUCCAGCCACACAGAGGAGACGAGAAAAGUAAAAGAUUCAGAUCGGUUUUCCAGUACUGGCAACUGAAAGCCCCAUAGCCCUGCUGCUGCAACAGGAUCAUCGCACUGUCUGAACCUGGUGGACCCCGAAGAAGAAACGACUUUAUUUUUCCUGGCUCCACGGCCUUUGGCAACACUGGCUUGAGUCUCCCGUUCCUGGCUCUUAAAUAACAGCUGGGGCCAAUCCCAGAGCUUUGGGGUCACUCUUGGGUAUAAGGAAGUCCAGUCCAGUCUAGUCCAGGGUAAAACUUGAAUCUCCAAUCCACUUUAAUGCUCGUAUUCUCCCUGUGCCCAGAACAGACCCUCCUGCAUCUGAAGGGACUUGCAAAGGGGAUAAGAGAUGUUCUUCUCCCCACCCCCGCCUUCUAUUUCUGGCCCUUCCAGAGUCUCAGGCCGAGGGGGAGAGGACCUGAAAAGACCAUGGACGCCCUCCGUGGGGCCUGGCUCCAAGUGCUGGCUCUCCCGGCCCCAUGUGGGGUUGUCAGAACACAUGCAGGAGCCUCCUCUCUGCCACAGAUGGGCAAGCCACAGUCCCCACAGGCUCUAGCCCUUGGGGUUCCCCCCCACCCACAGCCUCCUCUGGCCCCCCCAAGGCCUGCCUUCUGGGGUGGAAUAUUGUAAAAAUCCAAAGGUGGCCCAACCACCUGCCAGGGUCCACUCGGCUCCGAGGACCCUUACACAUCCUGACUGUGCCAGGCGGUGGCCCUGCAGACAGCCCCCAGGGACCCCAACACCUCUCUCCAAUGCUCUUCACCCUGGUUCCAGAGGAUGGAGGAGCAAGUUCAUUUCCAGGCAGACAUCCAGCCCGGGAAGAUGAUUUCACCUCCGCGUCUUGUCAUUUCCACGAGGGAUUCCUGGGUGCCCGCUGCCCCCACCUGGCUAAGCCCGGGGAGGAGCGAACCACAGCCUUCUUCCCCCAGGCUGAAACCUCGCAGCUAAAGGGAUCCUCCCUCCUCUUCUCUGAUCUCCUGCUUAUGCAUCCAGGCCGGGAGGACUGAGGACCUCUCUUUGUGCUUGACUGUGAAUCUGCCAUGUAGCAAAUGCCAAGGUAGGAGAAAAAGUCAAUCCCUGUUGUGUAUCUUUCAAACCAGGUCUUUCCUGUACUCUCGCGGAGCAAGCGCUUUCUCUUAAUGUCUGGGCCAGAUCUCACGGACUUAGCACUACUUGUUCUCAUCUGGCUGGUUCCAGGCUUCUGAUGGUGUUCUGGUCUAGAAGCCUGGUCCCACGAUGAAAUCCACUCCUGCUCGCUCCCAGCUCCACAUCACCCACAGAUUUGAUAAUCCAGCUUUCUGGGCUGUUAUUCAAGCCUUUGAUGAAAAGAUCAAAGACAACAGGACUGAAUAGAGGACCCUUAAUUCAGGGUGACAUUUAUUCCAGCCUGUCCUUGGUGAACUGCUACUGGCUCCAGCUACUUACCACUUCCUGUUAUCUGAGCUCUAAAACUGCCUGUCUAAUCAGGGCUCACAGGUGCCUGGGCUCCAGUCUACAGCUCCCUCGUCUCCCAGGAUGUCAGUGACCUGGGCUAGGGAUUUGGACUCGCUGAAAAUAGCAAGUGCUUCCUCGCCCAGCUCUGCCAACCCCCUUCCCCCACCACUGCAUCUAGGCAUCUUCAUUCAGCUCAGCUCUGCCCAGCCACACCCCGGCCCCAGCUCCCAAGCAAGCACCGCCUCGCUCAUCCCCUUCCAGGCUCAGCCUCGGCUCCUCUCUCAGGCAAUUGGUCUGCCCCUGAGGGGAGGGGCAGGAAGACCGUCACUGAAGCACCCAGAUGACUCAGAUGACCCCAAGAGUUGAGAUCUGCUGACGUCCAGGACCCUUCGGUCAGCUGGGGCUGGGGUGGGUGGAGCAAACCAUAUUUAUUAAGCAAGAGCCAGGAGCUGGGCUAGGUGUGUUAGCGCAAUUAUCUCUGUCUCCUGGGUGAGGAGCGGUGAGGGAGGUCACAGCACUGGCCUAACGUCCCCGACCAACCAGUUCAGGGGCAGAACCAGGUUCUGAUCUAAGCCUCUGCCCUCUGUUUGCUCCCCUUCCAGGUAGUUAGGGACCCUGUCACUGUCUCCGCAGCCUCCGGAAGACAGAGGAAGCCCGAGCACAGCCCAUCCUGAGCCCCCAGGAGGGAGAAGCAGGUUGAGGGCGAGGGAAGGGGGGGCGGGGAGAGGCGCAUCCCUGACAUCAGGCUGCCGGGAAAUGAGUCCAGUGUUCCUGAGACCUGAAUGAUUUGGGAUUAAGCUUCCAGAUCUGGCACCACAGAUGCGAUAUGAAUCCGUUGUGGCCCCACCCCCAGCCCAUGGCAGGGAACAGAUGGACAGACCCCUCCCUGGGGUCUAAGUAGGGCACUGCUGAGGCUGCUGGGAGGCAGCAGGGGAGCCAGUCAGCCCUGGGGGGCUGAGCAGGGGCAGAUCCAGCUCCACCUCCCCUCCCUGGGCCCCCCACCCUCCAAGACAGUAGAAUCUGAGGGUCAGCUCUCUGCUGCCAACCGUGGGUGGCGCUGCCACACAAGGCAGAGACUCCGGACCCUGGAGCAGCACCGGUCAUUCAGGCACAAGUCAGGCCAUCCUUCCUAAGUCCCAAGUCCAUAGCCUGAGACCACUGGAAGCAACGAGGGACACAAACUUCCUCCUCGGGGCUCCAGAGCAAGGCAUGGGCAGCGUGGUGCUCAGAGCGUCAAGGUCCCGAGCAGGACCAGCCUUGUGUGGCCCUCCCGUCACCAUGAGCACAGCGGGAUGGGGCCAUGGGAGGCCAGACAGAUGCAGAAACAGAAAGAAGGCAACUGUCAGAGCUGGAGAGACCUGGGGACUCCUGAGUCCUCUUCCUGUUCAAGAAGCAAAGGCUGAGGCUCAGCAAGGAGAGGGGACAGGUGCACAGGGAGCGGGUGACAGAGCCAGGGGCCCCUUCCACAUCAACGCAAACCACUGAGCUUAACUUGUAACAGCAAAACACAGGAACAGUCCAAAUAUCCACCCGCAGGCAAAGGGAUUAACCGACUGGGUGUUUCCAUGCUCAAGACUAGCGACCACUCAACAACACGACUGGAUGAACCAAUGAUCCAUGCAAGGCGGCUAAGUCAUAAAGGACCAUGUCAAGUGACCAAAGUCAGACAAAGAGGAAGCAAUGUAGGAUUCUGUUCCUACCAAGCUCUGGAAAGAGUAAAGUAAUCUGGAGGGACAGGCAGUAGAUUGACAGCGACAGCGUCAGAAGGGGCAUUAAGAAGGGGUAUGGGAACGAUUUGGGGUCAUGGGUAUAUUCGCUGUCUUGGCUGUGCUGAUGGUUUUGCGGGCAAGUACACACACUGGGGAAGGGAGGAGGCGGACGCCCGGGAGAGCUGGCCGGGAGGGGAUGGACUUGGAGCAGAGCUGGCCUUGACAGAGCCGGCAUGGAAGGCUGGGAUGAUGCAAACGGCAACAGCCCUGUAGAGGCAGGCGUUUGAAUGAAGGCUCAGACAAAGCAGUGUUCUCAGAAGGAUCCAGAACAAUGGGAAGAGCCCAGGGCUGCCAGGGGGAUGAGGAAAGACGACCCAUGUACAUCUGCUCCAUGCACAUAUGUCUCUGGAGUCUCACAGUACCUACACUUAAGAGUAACCAUCAAAAGAAGGUUAUGGGAGAGAGGAACCAUCAAAAGAAGCAUGGGAGAGAGGAAGGAGGAGGGGAGAGAAGAGGAGCAUGGAAGAGACCCUGGAUGCAUCCACCAAGCUGGGCUCUGUGGAUAUAAGGGAGCCAGAGCAAAGGAAUGGUGCAUGUAACUCAGAGCUUCCAGGAAAUUUGCCUGGCAGCAAAGUGCAGGGACCUCCACUCUGUCCGGAUCAUGCACCUGCUCUCUGGAAGGGUUGGUCCAUCUCCUUUACCAGCCUGGAUGGCAGAGUGGCAGGGAGCACACAGCAGGCCCUUCUCCAAGAGUUGGGAGGGCCUGGGAUGCCCCAGCUUCUGCUCCCAGAGCAGAGAACAAGCUACUCCCCUCGCCUCCCAGGGAGGCCAACGAGGGCCUGUGGCACAGCCAGGAAGGGCAAAGAUUUCCAAAGCUCUGUGAUGGAAUCUCUCCCUGGUUCUCCCUGUCCUCACGUUUCACAGGCACCUCCAACCCACAGCUCAUAUCUUCUGGAAGCGGCAGUAGCCCCAGCAGCCCUGCCUCCAGGGCAGGAAGGAGGAAUACAGGCCUGCAGGAGUGUGCUGGGCCCAGGAGGGGCAAGUACAACAUGUCUACUUGGCUCCUCCACCACCUAACUGCUCAGAAGACCCAAGCCCCUCCCCCAGAGCCAGCUCUGGGCAAACGAAUAGGCUCCCAGGAUGAUGGGCCCGCUGUCUGCCUGGACCAGACCGCUGUCAGACUGUCCCCAAUUCAACCAUCAAAAAUGAACAGCCCCUGCCUUCACUCCAUCCCUCUCUGGGGCGUGAAAAUGAAGCUUGUAAUCUACCAUACCCGCACAGCACUUUACAGUCGACCCCUUCAUCUCCUUCCUGAUACUGUGAAGCAGCUAAAAUCAUGCCCACCCUCCAGAUAAGGGUUUCACACUUCAGCUGGGCCUGUGGACCUGUCUACGGUCCCACAGCUAACGUUUAGGGGGAGGGAACUUAAAGCUUCCAAGCCAGCUUGCCAAAGGGCCAGAAGCAUGAGGACCAGACAGAUCCUCACUGGGAAGCUUGCGGCCAGCACAGGGCAGAACACAUCACUGCACAAGAUCCGGUCAGAGUUAGAAGGAACCCCACAGGCAUCUCAGCCUGCUUCGUCUCACCCUUCAGGCAACUGAAGCCUGAGAAGGACCAAGGAGGCGGUCAUGGGAAAUUGUACUUUAAGCUCCUGAGAACUGAGAGACUAAGAAUCUAGGAGCGGCCCAGACCGGCUGGCCCUGGGGGUCCUUGACAGCGGCAGAGGGUGCACAGGCAGAGUUACAAGGGGUGCAGGCUCAGCCCAUCGCCCGUUCCCAUAGCACAGGCAGACACGCUGAGCCUGUCCCCCAGAAGCCAAGGCCACGUUAAAAUUCUCCAGGACAGGGAAGAGAGCAGCCACCAGGUGCUGGCACGAUGGGAGGCAGGCGUCACCCUCCCCAUUUUGCAAAGAAGCCAAGGCUCCGAAGGUUGAACAACCUCCGCAACGGCACAAGUAGGAAGGAGCAGAGUCGGGACGAAAAAACGCAGCAUUCUUCCCACCACCCUCACUCCCCUCAGGCUGGGCUACUGGGCUGCCGGGGGACUUGCCCGCAGCUCAUGGGCUCAGCCUCCAGCCCUGAGAUGAGGUCUCUGGGGUCCUUCCGCUGGGCUUCUCCAGCGCCCCCAUCUGGCAUCAUUCAGGGCUGACUCCUGGCCCCUCACCCAAGAUUGCCCUCAUCAGACAGUGCAGAGGCAGUCAGGCCUGCCAGGAGCAAUUCACCAGAUCCACAACUUGAGAAUCUCCAGGGAACCAACCUGGGAAUCUGCAUUUUAACAGGAGCCUUCCGGAAGCACAAUUUUGGAGAAAGAACGUGCGAAAGACUGGCAUCUGCUGCUUUCAGCAAAGAUCCUCCCCAGGUCUCUCCAGGUUGGAGAGAGGAAAACCUAUUUGCAGUCUCUUCUCUCAGGGCUAAAGCGAGCUGGAUGCCCCUUCCCCGCCUCCCCACCCCCGGGGGGGGGGCGGGAAUCAAAAAGGAGCGCCUUCUGGGAGGCACAACUUCCGGGGGUGAAAACCCUUCCCCUUGGCGGGGAGGGGAAGAUGCCCCUCCUCCAGGCACCUCCACGGCUCAGGUGGGGGGCGGAGCCAGGAGGCGCCGAGGCCCCGCCCACGAGGUCACCUCCCACUCCGGAUUGCGUGCCCUGCCUGCCCCCUCCCGGCUAAAACCCAUCUUCUGCUGUCAAGAAAAAGGUCGUCUGCCUGGAGUCGCUGAAAAUUACACGUUAACAGCCUUACAGAUUUCCAGCAGUUUCAAAUGCUGGCUUUGGCCAAAAACUUCUUUAAAAGGCCAUCCUCCCUUCUUAUUCCAUAGCGUUUACAUUUUAUAACAUUUAAACAGAACCGCUUUCAAACACAGAUAGGCAGUACUUUCCUGACAUGUCCCCAUAAAAAGUAAAAUCUGGGAAGCGUCUGCGGUGGACGGCUGGGGAAUGCCUUCUGUGCCCAGCAGUGAUUAGCUCCAUCUGCAAAAUAGUUCCCAACGCUGCUGCCUCAAACUAGGAGCUCCUUCCUCCGAGAAGCCCUCCUGCCUCCCGUCUGGGCUCCGUGCCAUGGAUAUCUGUCCACAGAAGACGUCCUUUGUUGAAGUUGCGGUUAUGGCUCAGUGGAAACCCAUCUGACUAGGAACCAUGAGGUUGUGGGUUUGAUCCUUGGCCUCGCUCAGUGGGUCAAGGAUCCGGUGUUGCCAGGAGCUGUGGUGUAGGUCGCAGAUGCGGCUCAGAUCCAGUGUGGCUGUGGUGGCUGUGUGUCGGCCAGCAGCUAUAGCUCCAGUUAGACUCCUAGCCUGGGAGCCUCCAUAUGCCCUGGGCAUAUAUCCAGACAAAACUAAAAAGACCAAAAAAAAAAAAAAA
rnacentral:lncRNA from 1 species